GGUGCCAUCUUCAGAACCUGAAUACAUCCAAUUGCCAUCACAUUGAAAUCCCACCGCCAUAACAUUACUAGUAUGUGAGUCAUAGCUAAUAACAGGUUGUGGGCUAUUUGAAUUAACAUCAAAAAGACGGAUGUGAGGAUUUCCAGCUGCAGCCAGGUAUUGCUUGUCAGGAGUUAUCGCACCCUUCAGUACCCCGAUUCGCAAGUUAACA
rnacentral:misc_RNA from 1 species